GACGAACCGUCCAAACGUUAUUCGGAAUUACUGGGCUUAAAGGGUGCGUAGGCGGCGCGGAAAGUUGGGUGUGAAAUCCCUCGGCUCAACCGAGGAACUGCGCCCAAUACUACCGUGCUCGAGGGAGAUAGAGGUGAGCGGAACUUAGGGUGGAGCGGUGAAAUGCGUUGAUAUCCUAAGGAACACCGGUGGCGAAAGCGGCUCACUGGAUCUCUUCUGACGCUGAGGCACGAAAGCUAGGGUAGCGAACGGG
rnacentral:rRNA from 1 species